rnacentral:rRNA from 1 species
GACAGAGGAGCCAAGCGUUGUCCGGAUUGACUGGGCGUAAAGCGCACGCAGGCGGAUGCGCGCGUGGGGUGUGAAAUCUGGCCGCUUAACGGCCAGGCGCCAUCCCAUACGGCGCGCCUGGAGUGAUGCAGAGGUCGAUGGAAUUGCCGGUGUAGUGGUGAAAUGCGUAGAGAUCGGCAGGAACACCCAGGGGGAAACCAGUCGACUGGGCAUCUACUGACGCUGAGGUGCGAGAGCGUGGGGAGCGAACCGG